rnacentral:lncRNA from 1 species
CUGGCUUCAGUGAUGGGGUGGGUGGUAGAUAGAAAAUUAAAUGGAAAAAAUGAAUAAAUGUGUUGAGUGAAGUAUCUAUGGUCCGGAUGGAAAUCGAAGCCAUGAACUAGUGGAAGUGUAAAGUAAAUAAAAGCAGAGUUCUGGAAAUGUCCAACAUUUCAAAGAUGAGCAGAAGGAAAAGAACCAGUGAGGAUGAAUCAGAAAAUCUCAGGCGGCUGCUGGUGACCCCAAUGGCACUCUUAGAAGCAUGGGCGGA